AAAGAAAUGUACCAAGUUGUUGAUUAAUCUCAGUUAACUUAGAACUAAAGUCUUGUGUAAUUGGUCAGCUGCUUGAUUAUGUUUUGGGGCCAUACAUGUUAAGAGAAGGGAUUAAAAGAUGAUAUAACUGUGAUGUGGUAAAGUUGGACCCAGAUGCAGAGAAGAGACCAGAAGAUGAAGCAGUGGUUCCAACCAGUGUCUCCACCCCUCAAGGGCCCACUUAACUGCCAAGAGCUCCCGGUUGCCUACAUCGUAGUUGCCUUCCGCUGGCGAGAACCACUUGGAGAGAAAGGCGCAUGGGUGCAGUUUCUUGUCCUCCUCGUUCCGCUGUGAAAGUUCUGCCCCAGCUCCGGUGUCCGAGGUCGUCCACCUCUACCACAAAGGGGCGAGUAGGAUCAGGAUGAACGAGGAUGGGUCUGGAGUUGAAACGUCCCUUGUGCUCUAUGAAUGCCCUGUCAGCCUCGGGAUUCCUGCAAAAACCUGCUUGAGUGAGGUGGGACAGGGCUGUAUGUGUUCCGGAAGGGUUUUUGGAGAAGAUCAGGAUGUCGUCGAGGUAAACAAAGACGAACCGAUUCAACAAAUCCCUAAGAGUGUCAUUGAUCAAUGCUUGAAUGACUGCCGAUUUGAAGCGUUGCGGAGGUCCAGUUUGGUGAAGAAUUGGGCUCCUAGGGCCAACUCCAAGGCGGCGGACAUCGGAUUUGUUGAACAUGAGUGGAAAUGAAACUCCAGCACACUGGUAGCACUAUAGACGUGUGAGUAUAACUUUUCCAGGUGAGUUGAACCUGCCUGUGGGUGCGGUGGGGAUAUUCCUGGGAGGUCUACUGAUGAAGAGGUAUAAGCUUGGCGUUGUGUCUGGAGCCCAGCUGUCUUUCGUCACCUCCUUCAUGGCCGACCUCCUCCUCCCUCUCCAUUCUGACACUAAGUGUGACAACGUUCAGGUGGCUGGUCUGACCGUGUCCUACAACGGGUCCACUGAUGUACGAUGGCAGCCUGUUGUCAGAGUGUAACAGAGACUGCUCCUGCUUGGAUGGGGAGUGGGACACUGUGUUCAGACAAUGGCAUCACCUACACCUCCCCCUGCCUCGCAGGCUGCUCCAGCUUUACAGGUUACGGCAAGAACACGGUACCAAUACUAUUAAUGUACUGAGUGUACAAAACAUUCACAGGGAUGCUGAGCCAUGUUGACUCCAAUGCCUCCCACAGUUGUGUCAAGUUGGCUGUAUGUCUUUUGAGUG